UAUCUCUCUCUAUCCAUGUCUCUCUCUUUCUCUUUCUCUUUCUCUCUCUCUCUCUCUCUCACAUACUCUUUAUUGCAAUUCACCAAUUCUGCUUCAACCAAGACCAAAAAUCAGGGAAACCAACUCGGUUGUUGUUCUUCGUUGUAAUCCAACUAGGUGCUCAAGGAAUUCAAUGUAGUGUGACUUUUGAAAGUAUCGUCAUCAAUGGUCAAAGAAGAAUACUCAUCUUUGGUUCGAUACAUUAUCCUUGAAGUACUUCACAAAACUAGUAUCAUUUUUUCAGGUGAAAUGUGGGUUUACAUGAGCUUCAAUUCAUAGGGUUUCAAACAGUCGCCGAAAACCCUAGAAAUUAACCGUCACCGCCAUUCCAACGAACACUAGGGUUUCUAACUAUGAGGUCAUCGGAGAAGCAAAGAUACAAAGUGAUUGUUGUCGUGUUCGUCGAGGUAGGAUUUGUAGAGGUGAAGACGAUCGUGGCAAUGGUGGAUUUCAGUUUCUGGCGGCGUUAGGGGUUCGUCGUGUUCGUCGAGGUAGGGUUUUCACUUUUUGAUUGAUUUUCCUCUCUCGCACCUCAUUCAACUGACCCCAUUCAUCCUCUUUUGGUUCGCCAGAUCUGUAACUUUUUUCCUAUCAUUACAUUUUUUCCUGUUUCUGAAAUCUAACUAUCUCUUGUGUUGAAUAUAUAUUUGAUUUUGAUUUUAUUUUCAUAAGGAAGUGGGGGAAGAGGUAUGUCUCCUACGAAAUAUAGGAAUAUGUUGAAAAAAAUAAGAAACAAGGGGAAGAUGAACUCGAGUCUAGUACUUUCUCUUUGCGAUCUGGGUGGAGAUGAUGAUCCAGACGAUGAAAUCAUGUUUUAUUUCCAGAUUCAAAAAUUAUUUUUCAGACUCGAUGUAACUGGUUUAAGAUUUAGAAUCAUAUGUAUGUAUGUGAUUCAAAUUUUGUGUUCUUAAGUGUGUGUGCGUGUUGAAGUGCAAACCCAGAAAUCUGGAUUUUGUGUGUGCAUGUGUGUUGUUCUUGAAUCUAGCCAUGAUGAUUUAUUUAUCUUGAGAUGAGUUCAUUUUUUUGCCAUAUGGUAGUACCAGUAUGAAGCAUUCAAAUAUUGAAGAAGAUGCUUCCUCCUCUUCUUUAGAGAGAGAGAGAGAGAGAGAGAGAGAGAGAGAGAGAGAGAGAGAGUGAGUGUGUGUUUAAUUUUUGUUUUAUUUUUAGUUGUUUCUUAAUUACUGUAAUAAAA
rnacentral:lncRNA from 1 species